ensembl:lncRNA
AGAAUGGCUGUAAGAGACCAUAUAGGGCGAGUGGUCACAUGGUGUCUCCCGGAGAAAACCUUGCGUAAAAUACUGAGGUAGCCAUUUUUCCAAUCGUUUCUUAUGAGAAACCAACUGCCUCGAUGGAUAUAGUAUCGAAUACAUAUGUUAAAAACACCUUGAGGAUGGAUCCUAAACAACGUUUGCCGUUUUUCUGUCGAUAUUAUGGAGUUAAUUUUGAAAAAAGUUUGGCGUUAUAAUGGUAGCAUUUUCCGGUCGAUUUCUCAGCCAAGCAUGAUGAACAAACGGGAGCUAUUUCGCCUACAAAAAUAAUAUUUUUGGAUAAAAGGAACAUUUGCUAUCUAACUGGGAGUCUCCUUAGUGAAAGCAUCCAAAGUUCUUCAAAGUUGUCGAAUUGGGACACUAGCAAUCCGCAAAACGUUUUAAGUACCCUACACAUCAAUGUGGAAAAGACAAAGGAGCUGAUCAUCAAUGGCACCAACUUACCAAGUCCCAACCACUCUUCCUGAACGACCAACCAGUGGAGGUGGUUGAGUGUUUUAAAUACCUAGGGAAACUAAUUGAUAACACGAGUUUUUCAGAGAAUGCAGACUAUUUUUUUUUAAGCUAGCCAAUGCCUGUUCUUAAUCAGGAAAUUAAAGGGGUUUGGGGUCAGCAAGGAUGUUCUGGAGAGGGUGUACAGCAGCUUGUUGGAGAGCAUCCUCACUUUCAAUAUGACAGUCUGUUAUGGUAAUCUGACUAUGAGGAGCCAAAGUAAACUGACCAGAAUAGUAAACACAGCCAGCAAAGUAAUUGGUCGACCACAGGCACAUUUGAACAUUCUAUUCCACAAGGCAACCAAAAAGAAGACACUGGCUGUCGUUGGAGACCCUUCCCACCCUCUACACCCUCAGUUGGAGACCCUUCCCACCCUCUACACCCUCAGUUGGAGACCCUUCCCACCCUCUACACCCUCAGUUGGAGACCCUUCCCACCCUCAACACCCUCAGUUGGAGACCCUUCCCACCCUCGACACCCUCAGUUGGAGACCCUUCCCACCCUCGACACCCUCAGUUGGAGACCCUUCCCACCCUCUACACCCUCAGUUGGAGACCCUUACACCCCUGGAGACCCUUCCCACCCUCUACACCCUCAGUUGGAGACCCUUCCCACCCUCUACACCAUCAGGUGGAGACCCUUCCCACCCUCUACACCCUCCGGUGGAGACCCUUCUCACCCUCUACACCCUCAGGUGGAGACCCUUCCCACCCUCUACACCCUCAGGUGGAGACCCUUCUCACCCUCUACACCCUCAGGUGGAGACCCUUCCCACCCUCUACACCCUCAGGUGGAGACCCUUCCCACCCUCUACACCCUCAGGUGGAGACCCUUCCCACCUUCUACACCCUCAGGUGGAGACCCUUCCCACCCUCUACACCCUCAGGUGGAGACCCUUCUCACCCUCUACACCCUCAGGUGGAGACCCUUCCCACCCUCUACACCCUCAGGUGGAGACCCUUCCCACCCUCUACACCCUCAGGUGGAGACCCUUCCCACCCUCUACACCAUCAGGUGGAGACCCCCAGAGUACCCAUGGCCAAGUAGAAUGUGUUCAAACAUUCAUUUGUUCCUCGUUCCGCUGUAGGACUACUAAAUGCUAAGUCAGUUGUGUCUGUAUAUGUACUUAUCUAUCUAGGGCAGUUGGGACAGCGGUCUGUUUUGAGUGAAUGUAUCAAUGUCCUCUAUGUUGUUAGUGUACAACAUGAUGGACUGACUGGUUUAGAUGUGUAUGAUGUGAGAAUGUACAGUACAUGUAUGUGAUUAUUUUAAUGGGUGGUGAUGCCAAAGAGAAAUGUUUAUCCUGG